rnacentral:piRNA from 1 species
GUCCUACUCACUGUUAGUGUCUAGGCUGC